UACGUAGGCAGCAAGCGUUGUUCGGAGUUACUGGGCGUAAAGAGUGCGUAGGCGGUUUCGUAAGUUUGGUGUGAAAUCUCCCGGCUUAACUGGGAGGGUGCGCCGAAAACUGCGGGGCUGGAGUAGGGGAGAGGUAAGCGGAAUUCCUGGUGUAGCGGUGAAAUGCGUAGAUAUCAGGAGGAACACCAAUGGCGAAGGCAAUCCCCUGGACCUGUACUGACGCUCAUGCACGAAAGCGUGGGGAGCAAACAGG
rnacentral:rRNA from 1 species